UUUCAGUGGCGCCCGUCCCUCCGGGUGACUUCUCCCUCCCUGUAGCGCUCCUUCUCGGGAUCCGCUAGCGGUGAGGUCCCUGUGCGGCUGCUGAGCGGCCGGCUGGAGGCGCUUGGCGGCUUCCGGCCAACCCACUCCUCUCCCGCGCGAAGGGGCAACCCCGGCCUCACCAGGAACAUCGAGCCCAAAUCAACCAGGAGUUACACUCAAAGUCUUCCCCCGUCUUUCCACUCCACCCGAUUUCUCUUUUCCUUUUUCCACUCCUCCACUCUUUCCUACCGGAAACGCUACCCUUUCCUCCUACAGUUCCGCCUGCCAGUCCCUCAACUCUAGUCUUCCCUCGCGCCCCGGAGUGUGACGCUAAGAACCCCCUCCCCCUGUCUGCGGCCCCUCCCCCCGCACCCCAGGAGGCUGUUGGAGGGGAUGGGGUGGAGCCCAGGGAGGAAGAGAAAGGAAACCAAUCGGAUUGGAUAAGCAGCUGCCAUGGCAACUGGAGGCUGUGGUUGUAUUGUCAUAGUAACCAAUGUGUGCGGACUGGGUGACCCUCCCUUGGCGAAUGGAUUCCCGGGAAAGUGCCCAGGGUUCCCCCUUGGCUUCCCUUCCGUCUAAAGGCCUCCCCCAGGUUGGGAAUCCGGGUGAUCUACUGGGCGGUGAGGUUCAUUUCCUCUUCCCUUUCCCCUUCCCGCUACCAUGAGGGGGGCCCCAAGGCAUUCACCGUGGGCUUUUCCACCCGCCUGCGGGCUGGAACCACCUCCAGUUUCCUCUCAGUGCCGGGCGUGGAGAGGGCCGGGGCUGCGAGGAAGACGCCGGGCCUGAAGGCUAGCGAGCUGCGGACUGGAACGAGGAGGGCGAGGCGGCGGCGCAAAGCUUCGGGCGGGCGAGGGGUUUCCCCAGGACUGCCUCCGGCUCAGAGAGGCGGGAUCCCGCCAGGACGGGGUCCCUAAGGGAGGAGAACGGCACACGACGACCCAGAUUCCUCUCCUGCCGGGCAGGGACCUCCUUAGACUUUUUCUGGUGGGUCGACCCCUUACGGAAAUCCCCCAAAGCUCACCCGAUACACCCUCGGCAACCGAGCCACCUCCUGCCGCGGGGAAGCCAGAGUAAAAGUAGGAACAUCCUAGAAGACUAAUAAAUGGUUUUCUAGCGUUUAGAGCCAGGGACGUGGUGAGACGCCCUCCCUCUCGGAGGCAUCCCCCCAGUGGGGGUCCCACUUGAUUAGCGAAGACCUUCCUGUGAGGUCCUCCCUCUGCAGACUUCUCUGAUGGGUCCGCUCUGUUUUAAGAACUUGUCACUGUAUCUUUUGGGUCGGAGAGGGAAACGUUGGGUAAAAAUAUCGAGAACUUAGAUACUGGCGCGGUGAAAUAGUACAAUGAAGAACCUAGAUACUGGCGCGAAGUUCCGAGGAAAGGCAUUGAGGAAGAGGAUUUUCAUUCUUAAAACAAAUUUUUCUGAAAGUCUAUUAUUCUAUUAUGUGUAUUUUAUGUUAGGUUUGGGGUUAAAAACCUGAAAUAAGGAAAUGGGGUCAAUAAUAACAUGGAGUGUGAGAAGCAACUGGAGAAAUGGUAAUUCUAAUGGCUUGAAGGACUUAUUUGACAUUUUACAAAUCAUUUCGAUUCGUAUUGUGGAGUCUUCUACGGAGCUGUUUCAAAGUACUUUGGACAGUGCAACUGUAUAACCUCCCCCCCCACCCAACCAGGACUGUAGCCCUUACUAGCGAGUUUAAAUCAGGAUUUUAAUGGGCUGUUUUAGUUUAGCUCGGUUUGAGUAACUGAUUCCUGCUGUCUUCCAUGCUAGGUGAGGAGGAACUUUCAAGAUCCUUCCCUGAGACCACACCCUAUUAAAUACUAGACCAAUGUUUUUUUGGAACAUCAUGUAUGCGUUUAGAGAAAAUGAAAGUACAAGCCACGCUGAAACAAAUCGGAAGAAUAGAUUAUCUUUAACGAAAUAGAAACUAACCUAUGCCCCUCCUGCCGUCAGCGCCUACUGUGCUGCCGUGUGAGGCAUGGUGAUUGCAGCUGUACAAUGCCCCCUGUGAUGCCUCACUGCACCAACGCGCCACCCACUCAUGGAAAAGAGAGCCACCUAGUGAAAUACUGUUCUCAUCUCUGGUGUUCUGUCCAGGUUACUGUGGAUAUCGUGGUAAAAGAGGCAUUGUCCCUAUCUUGGAGAAACCCACCUUCUGGUAGAGAUACCAGAGAAUGGAGAAGUGAUAAGAAUGCAAGAUGAUGGGUGCAGUAAUUAAGGGAGUCACGGAGCCUGAAAAACAAUCAGGAAGACUUGCAGUCCAAGACCCUAGAGAAAAAACUUGUGGUUUUGGAGGCACUGAGGUACCAGAGAAUGGUAGUCAGAGUGCAUUCUCCUUCUCCAUUCUCCUAAUAUUGACUUAGGGGAAACUUAUUAAUCUUCAAGAAUUUCUCCCAAUUCCCAAUUAGAAAAUAUCUCUGGGAAAGAACCACACCUUAAAAUCUUAUCUGCUAAUUUAAUGGACACCAACCAUCUGGAGAAGACAAGAAGAAAUUCUCCUAGGGAAAAUUGAAGAGUA